GUUCCUCCAGCAUAAAAACAAGACAAAGUUUCUGCAGAGCUGCUCUAACCCAAUAAUAAAAUUGGACAAUAAGCUGCAUAUCUGCCGGAAACCUGGGACUGGCAAUGGAGAUGAGAAGAGAAUCAGAAGGCCCCAAGGCAAACCCAUUGUAGCAGCAGUGGCAGUAAUAGCAGAGCCAAUGGCGGAUGUGGUGGCAACACUAGUAGAACAGAUGCCCAAAACUCUGAGCCAAGAGCACAGGAGAAAUCCUCAUUGCCUUUCUUUCCCCUUUCUGAAUUCUUUCACCAUUUGAACUGGCUGGCAGAACUAAUAACAAAAUAUAAACAGCAGAGUAGACAAUUCAAAGCCUCAGUUUUCUCAGCAGAAGAUGAGAAAGGAAAAUCUUUGAAGCUGGAA
rnacentral:lncRNA from 1 species